UGCCUGUAAUGUCUUCUUGAGACCUUGCACAAACAAUUCGUGCUGACUAAUGCCCUGUCCCAUAAUCGCUGCUCAACUUACCGAGGUGCAAAAAGACGGCAGGUCCACGUCAAUUGCAAGGCUCUCCCGUGUCAAGUGUGCUCUUUGUUCCUCAAUCUUAAUCUUAGGGCCCCUGAGCAGCGUCCUUCACUGGAUCCCCCGUUCUCUGGCCGCACGUUGGGCGCCACUUGUCCCGGCCCGCGGACAUCAUCCAGGUGUGUGUGCCUGCAGUGGCUGAGAAAAAGGGACACUAGAAGAAAGAUGUGGCACAAGAACAAAAUAUUCAUCUGCAAAACAACCGCUGGAAACAGACUGGAGUUUGAUACCUGUGGGACAGUAUGGCUGCAUUGUAAUUAAAAUUCUGACAGAUGACAAUG
rnacentral:lncRNA from 1 species